rnacentral:rRNA from 1 species
GGGUUGUGAGGUUAAGCGACUAAGCGUACACGGUGGAUGCCCUGGCAGUCAGAGGCGAUGAAGGACGUGCUAAUCUGCGAAAAGCGUCGGUAAGGUGAUAUGAACCGUUACAGCCGGCGAUGUCCGAAUGGGGAAACCCAGUGUGAUUCGUCACACUAUCGUUAACUGAAUACAUAGGUUAAC